GACGAACGCUGGCGGCGUGCUUAAGACAUGCAAGUCGAACGGAGAGGCCCUGCUUUUGUGGGGUGCUCGAGUGGCGAACGGGUGAGUAACACGUGAGUAACCUGCCCUUGACUUUGGGAUAACUUCAGGAAACUGGGGCUAAUACCGGAUAGGAGCUCCUGCUGCAUGGUGGGGGUUGGAAAGUUUCGGCGGUUGGGGAUGGACUCGCGGCUUAUCAGCUUGUUGGUGGGGUAGUGGCUUACCAAGGCUUUGACGGGUAGCCGGCCUGAGAGGGUGACCGGCCACAUUGGGACUGAGAUACGGCCCAGACUCCUACGGGAGGCAGCAGUGGGGAAUAUUGCACAAUGGGCGGAAGCCUGAUGCAGCAACGCCGCGUGCGGGAUGACGGCCUUCGGGUUGUAAACCGCUUUCGCCUGUGACGAAGCGUGAGUGACGGUAAUGGGUAAAGAAGCACCGGCUAACUACGUG
rnacentral:rRNA from 1 species